rnacentral:rRNA from 1 species
GAUGAACGCUGGCUACAGGCUUAACACAUGCAAGUCGAGGGGAAACGACGGGGAAGCUUGCUUCCCCGGGCGUCGACCGGCGCACGGGUGAGUAACGCGUAUCCAACCUGCCUCUGACUGAGGGAUAACCCGUCGAAAGUCGGCCUAAUACCCCAUGGUAUCGUCUGCGGGCAUCCAACGACGAUUAAAGAUUUCAUCGGUCAGGGAUGGGGAUGCGUCUGAUUAGCUUGUUGGCGGGGUAACGGCCCACCAAGGCUACGAUCAGUAGGGGUUCUGAGAGGAAGGUCCCCCACAUUGGAACUGAGACACGGUCCAAACUCCUACGGGAGGCAGCAGUGAGGUAUAUUGGGCGAUGGGCGAGAGCCUGAACCAGCCAAGUGGCGUGCAGGAAGACGGCCCUAUGGGUUGUAAACUGCUUUUAUGCGGGGAUAAAGUGAGGGACGUGUCCCUCAUUGCAGGUACCGCAUGAAUAAGGACCGGCUAAUUCCGUG